UACGUAGGGGGCAAGCGUUGUUCGGAAUUACUGGGCGUAAAGGGCGCGUAGGCGGCUCGGCAAGUCGGGUGUGAAAGGCCUGGGCUCAACCGAGGAAUGGCUUUCGAGACUGCCGAGCUAGAGUGCGGAAGGGGCAACUGGAAUUCCCAGUGUAGCGGUGAAAUGCGUAGAUAUUGGGAAGAACACCGGAGGCGAAGGCGGGUUGCUGGGCCGACACUGACGCUGAGGCGCGAAAGCCAGGGGAGCAAACGGG
rnacentral:rRNA from 1 species